AGAGUUUGAUCCUGGCUCAGAUUGAACGCUGGCGGCAUGCCUUACACAUGCAAGUCGAACGGCAGCACGGGGGCAACUCUGGUGGCGAGUGGCGAACGGGUGAGUAACAUAUCGGAACGUACCCAGGAGUGGGGGAUAACGCAGCGAAAGCUGCGCUAAUACCGCAUACGAUCUGUGGAUGAAAGUGGGGGAUUCGCAAGGACCUCAUGCUCAUGGAGCGGCCGAUAUCUGAUUAGCUAGUUGGUGGGGUAAAGGCCUACCAAGGCAUCGAUCAGUAGCUGGUCUGAAAGGACCACCACCCACACUGGAACUGAGACACGGUCCACACUCCUACGGGAGGCAGCAGUGGGUUUUUUUGGACAAUGAGGGCAACCCUGAUCCAGCAAUGCCGCGUGAGUGAAGAAGGCCUUCGGGUUGUAAAUCUCUUUUGUCGGGAAAGAAACGGUGUUCUCUAAUAUAGGAUGCUAAUGACGGUACCCGAAGAAUAAGCACCGGCUAACUACGUGCCAGCAGCCGCGGUAAUACGUAGGGUGCAAGCGUUAAUCGGAAUUACUGGGCGUAAAGCGUGCGCAGGCGGUUUUUAUAAGUCAGCUGUGUAAUCCCCGGGCUCACCUGGGAAUGGCAGUUGAGACUGUACGCUAGAGUGUGUCAGA
rnacentral:rRNA from 1 species